GACGAACGCUGGCGGCGUGCUUAACACAUGCAAGUCGAACGGAAAGGCCCUGCUUUUGUGGGGUGCUCGAGUGGCGAACGGGUGAGUAACACGUGAGUAACCUGCCCUUGACUUUGGGAUAACUUCAGGAAACUGGGGCUAAUACCGGAUAGGAGCUCCUGCUGCAUGGUGGGGGUUGGAAAGUUUCGGCGGUUGGGGAUGGACUCGCGGCUUAUCAGCUUGUUGGUGGGGUAGUGGCUUACCAAGGCUUUGACGGGUAGCCGGCCUGAGAGGGUGGCCGGCCACAUUGGGACUGAGAUACGGCCCAGACUCCUACGGGAGGCAGCAGUGGGGAAUAUUGCACAAUGGGCGGAAGCCUGAUGCAGCAACGCCGCGUGCGGGAUGACGGCCUUCGGGUUGUAAACCGCUUUCGCCUGUGACGAAGCAUGAGUGACGGUAAUGGGUAAAGAAGCACCGGCUAACUACGUG
rnacentral:rRNA from 1 species